rnacentral:snRNA from 1 species
AUACUUACCUGGAUGGGGUCGAUGGGUGAUCAUGAAGGCCCAUGGCUAGGAUUGUGACCUCCAUUGCACUUAGGAGGGGUGCUUUCCUAAGGUCUACCCAAGUGGUGGAGCCUACAUCAUAAUUUGUUGCCUGAGGGGGCCUGCGUUCGCGCGGCCCCCAC